UGCUUGUCUCAAAGAUUAAGCCAUGCAUGUCUAAGCAUAAACCGAAUAUGGUAAAGCCGCGAAUGGCUCAUUACAACAGCCAUAUUUUAUUGGAUCUUAGAGUCCUACUUGGAUACCUGUGGUAAUUCUAGAGCUAAUACACGCAAUCAAGCCUCAACCUUACGGGCGGGGCGCAUUUAUUAGAACAAAACCAAUUGGCUUCGGCCAUAGAUUGGUGAAUCUGAAUAACUACGCUGAUCGCACGGGCUUGUCCCGGCGACGUAUCCUUCAAGUGUCUGCCUUAUCAACUUUCGAUGGUAGUUUAUAUGACUACCAUGGUUGUAACGGGUAACGGAGAAUAAGGGUUCGACUCCGGAGAGGGAGCCUGAGAAACGGCUACCACAUCCRAGGAAGGCAGCAGGCA
rnacentral:rRNA from 1 species